rnacentral:misc_RNA from 1 species
UCCGGCUUACCACCGGCGGUCCCUUUAGAGUGCCCAACUUAAUGAUGGCAACUAAAGGCGAGGGUUGCGCUCGUUGCGGGACUUAACCCAACAUCUCACGAUACGAGCUGACGACAGCCAUGCAGCACCUGUCUCCGCGCCUCUUGCGAGGACCACCCAUCUCUGGGCUUAGCACGGGAUGUCAAGGCCUGGUAAGGUUCUGCGCGUUGCGUCGAAUUAAACCACAUGCUCCGCUGCUUGUGCGGGUCCCCGUCAAUUCCUUUGAGUUUCAGCCUUGCGGCCGUACUCCCCAGGCGGGGCACUUAAUGCGUUAGCGCCGGCACCCAGGGGGUCGCUCCCCCAGGCACCUAGUGCCCAUCGUUUACGGCGUGGACUAC